GCUGGGCAUGGUAGCAUGGGCCUGUAGUCCCAGCUAUUCAUGAGGCUGAGGUGGGAGGGUCGCUUGAGUCCUGAAGUUCUGGGCUGCAGUGCACUAUGUCAAUCAAGUGUCUGCACCAAGUUUGGCAUUAAUAUGAUGACAUCCCUGGAAUGGGGGACCACCAGGUUACCUAAGGAGAGGUGAACCAGCCCACGUUGGAAAUGGAGCAGGACAAAAACUCCCGUGCUAAUCAGUAGAGUGUCUUAGAAAUAAAAUCAUACAGAAAUAUGCAUUUGCAUUUGAUUUU
rnacentral:SRP_RNA from 1 species